rnacentral:rRNA from 1 species
CCUACGGGAGGCUGCAGUGGGGAAUAUUGCACAAUGGGGGAAACCCUGAUGCAGCGACGCCGCGUGAGUGAAGAAGUAAUUCGUUAUGUAAAGCUCUAUCAGCAGGGAAGAAAAUGACGGUACCUGAGUAAGAAGCCCCGGCUAACUACGUGCCAGCAGCCGCGGUAAUACGUAGGGGGCAAGCGUUAUCCGGAUUUACUGGGUGUAAAGGGAGCGUAGACGGCAGUGCAAGUCUGGAGUGAAAGGGGGGGGCUCAACCCCCGGACUGCUCUGGAAACUGUACGGCUGGAGUGCAGGAGAGGUAAGCGGAAUUCGUAGUGUAGCGGUGAAAUGCGUAGAUAUUAGGAGGAACACCAGUGGCGAAGGCGGCUUACUGGACUGUAACUGACGUUGAGGCUCGAAAGCGUGGGGAGCAAACAGGAUUAGAUACCCGAGUAGUC